rnacentral:rRNA from 1 species
UACGUAGGGACCAAGCGUUGUUCGGAUUUACUGGGCGUAAAGGGCGCGUAGGCGGUGCGGUAAGUCACUUGUGAAAUCGUCUGAGCUUAACUCAGAACGGCCAAGUGAUACUGCAGUGCUAGAGUGCGGAAGGGCAAUCGGAAUUCUUGGUGUAGCGGUGAAAUGCGUAGAUAUCAAGAGGAACACCUGGAGGUGAAGACGGGUUGCUGGGCCGACACUGACGCUGGAGCGCGAAAGCCAGGGAGGCAAACGGG